UACGUAGGGGGCAAGCGUUGUCCGGAAUCACUGGGCGUAAAGCGCGUGUAGGCGGUUCGAUAAGUCUGCUGUGAAAGCCCAGGGCUCAACCCUGGGAUGCCGGUGGAUACUGUCGGGCUAGAGUACGGAAGAGGCGAGUGGAAUUCCCGGUGUAGCGGUGAAAUGCGCAGAUAUCGGGAGGAACACCAAUUGCGAAGGCAGCUCGCUGGGACGUCACUGACGCUGAGACGCGAAAGCGUGGGGAGCAAACAGG
rnacentral:rRNA from 1 species